UAGGGAAUCUUCGUGCAAUGGACGGAAGUCUAACCGAGCAACGCCGCGUGAGUGAAGAAGGUUUUCGGAUCGUAAAGCUCUGUUGUAAGAGAAGAACGAGUGUGAGAGUGGAAAGUUCACACUGUGACGGUAUCUUACCAGAAAGGGACGGCUAACUACGUGCCAGCAGCCGCGGUAAUACGUAGGUCCCGAGCGUUGUCCGGAUUUAUUGGGCGUAAAGCGAGCGCAGGCGGUUAGAUAAGUCUGAAGUUAAAGGCUGUGGCUUAACCAUAGUACGCUUUGGAAACUGUUUAACUUGAGUGCAAGAGGGGAGAGUGGAAUUCCAUGUGUAGCGGUGAAAUGCGUAGAUAUAUGGAGGAACACCGGUGGCGAAAGCGGCUCUCUGGCUUGUAACUGACGCUGAGGCUCGAAAGCGUGGGGAGCAAACAGGAUUAGAUACCCUGGUAGUCCACGCCGUAACGAUGAGUGCUAGGUGUUAGACCCUUUCCGGGGGUUUAGUGCCGCAGCUAACGCAUUAAGCACUCCGCCUGGGGGAGUACGACCGCAAGGUUGA
rnacentral:rRNA from 1 species